rnacentral:rRNA from 1 species
GAUGAACGCUGGCGGCGUGCCUAAUACAUGCAAGUCGAGCGAACAGAUGAGGAGCUUGCUCCUCUGACGUUAGCGGCGGACGGGUGAGUAACACGUGGAUAACCUACCUAUAAGACUGGGAUAACUUCGGGAAACCGGAGCUAAUACCGGAUAAUAUAUUGAACCGCAUGGUUCAAUAGUGAAAGGCGGUUUUGCUGUCACUUAUAGAUGGAUCCGCGCCGCAUUAGCUAGUUGGUAAGGUAACGGCUUACCAAGGCAACGAUGCGUAGCCGACCUGAGAGGGUGAUCGGCCACACUGGAACUGAGACACGGUCCAGACUCCUACGGGAGGCAGCAGUAGGGAAUCUUCCGCAAUGGGCGAAAGCUUGACGGAGCAACGCCGCGUGAGUGAUGAAGGUCUUCGGAUCGUAAAACUCUGUUAUUAGGGAAGAACAAAUGUGUAAGUAACUAUGCACGUCUUGACGGUACCUAAUCAGAAAGCCACGGCUAACUACGUG